AAGUCGUAACAAGGUUUCCGUAGGUGAACCUGCGGAAGGAUCAUCGUUGUUUGUGUGUGGGGGUACUCUGUGGGUACAGAUUUUUUUCCUUUCAAAUCCCAACCAAGAGGAGAGGAGUUGACUGAGGCUUUUUUGCGUGGAGAGAAAAAAAGGACAAAACUUUCAACAACGGAUCUCUUGGCUCUCA
rnacentral:misc_RNA from 1 species